GACGAACGCUGGCGGCGUGCUUAACACAUGCAAGUCGAACGGAAAGGCCCUGCUUUUGUGGGGUGCUCGAUUGGCGAACGGGUGAGUAACACGUGAGUAACCUGCCCUUGACUUUGGGAUAACUUCAGGAAACUGGGGCUAAUACCGGAUAGGAGCUCCUGCUGCAUGGUGGGGGUUGGAAAGUUUCGGCGGUUGGGUAUGGACUCGCGGCUUAUCAGCUUGUUGGUGGGGUAGUGGCUUACCAAGGCUUUGACGGGUAGCCGGCCUGAGAGGGUGACCGGCCACAUUGGGACUGAGAUACGGCCCAGACUCCUACGGGAGGCAGCAGUGGGGAAUAUUGCACAAUGGGCGGAAGCCUGAUGCAGCAACGCCGCGUGCGGGAUGACGGCCUUCGGGUUGUAAACCGCUUUCGCCUGUGACGAAGCGUGAGUGACGGUAAUGGGUAAAGAAGCACCGGCUAACUACGUG
rnacentral:rRNA from 1 species